CAGGGAUUGGUGGUGAGAAAUCUUCAAGGAGAAACAGCUUAAAAUGAAAAGAGCUUGAAAUGUCAGUGUGUCAAUGCAUUUACAACGUAAUGUUCAGGGGAAAUAAGCGGAAGUAGCAGGAGAGAGAAACAGCUGAGUUAUCUACAGAGUUGAAAGUGUGGCCUAGGUUUAGAAUUCCCUUUCAAAUGUCAAGUUGGUGAGGACAUUUCCAAAUGUGUGGCUAUGGCACACGGGUAUGAGUUCACGCGGAUCCCAAGAGAAGCAGACAGACUCUGACCCAAGCUCUGCAUCACCCGGGUGUGUUGACGUCCCUGUUGUCGGAGAACGUGGCCGCUUCUUGUGAAGUGAGAGAAGAAAGCAGAAGACGUGUCUUCCUGAGAGGAGGCCACUGCUGGUGAGGAAGAGCCAUCGGCCCACGGCCAGAGUGCUCACCGCACCACCCCUUCUGUCCUCACAGCAACCCUGUGAGAUGGGCACCAGGAUUCUUGUUUCCAGACGAGGACACUGAGUGCCAGAGAACAUGAGCAAGUGACCCAGAUCAUUUGGCCAACAAAUGACGUCCGAUGGAAUGGAAAGUCAUGAAGAAAGAGGAAGGAGCGCUGCUGGGGUCAGCUGGUGGGUCAGGGGGCCGUGGUCUCUGACUCAUGGUUCAGCUUGCUGGGGGCGAGGCAGGGGACACCUGGACUAGGAGAGAAGCUGGAGCUGAGGUGACCCCAGGAGCAGCCACCGUGCUGCUGCUGCCUUGGCCAGCACAGUCCUGCCAUUCUCAGACUAGGACAGGGCCCGGUGGGGAGACAGAGUCGGGGGCUUCUGGUGUGCGAUACCUGCUCUGGCUUCAGUGAGGAAACCACUCGUCACUGCCGGGGUAUGAGGUAUGAAUCUUGCACAAGCUGGGUUUGUCCCCACCAAAUGCAAGAUGUGUGACCUGUCUACGCUGGAGGACUACAUCUUCCCAGAGGGGCAGAGGCCUGGCAGAGCAUGAGUGACCGCCAAGACCAUAACACUGGACAGUGGAGAGGCCUCAGAGAGGAUGAACCCAGUACAUGCCUGAGAACUGAAUUGAAGCCUGAGACCAGCUCUGGGUCUUCCCACCACCACACAGAUCCUCAGCACGGAGCAAAGAUGAAACCCAGGGCUCCCCACCUGUGGGCCAGCUCUCUACACCAUCACACCAGCUGCCCUAGGCCACCGCAUACCUUUAAACACGSCCUUGACCGCACCUCCUGGGCAUGUCCUGGAAGAACCUUGCUGGGGGUCUCACAUCACCCCACAACAUGGCCUUAGGAGACCACAAUAUGCCACCCUAAAAUAUGCUUCUCUAGCAUAUUUUGGGCUCAUUAUUUUACAAAACUGCAUAACAGUAGCUUGGAAAGUCUGUCCUUUUGUAAAAUAUUUCAAGAAAUCUACAAUAAUAAACGACUCCUAUCAGGAUAGCGCUGCCCUGCU
rnacentral:lncRNA from 1 species